rnacentral:tRNA from 1 species
AUGGGAAUCGAACCCACAGUGUUCCGCUUACCGGGCAGAUGCCAUGACCACUAAGCU